rnacentral:tmRNA from 1 species
GGGGGCGACCUGGUUUCGACGGGGAGCGUGAGUUGCCACCUGCCAUUCGUAGUUGGUCGAAGGGCUACGUAUAAAAAUCGAUCAAAAAACAACUGCCAACGAAAAUCUGGCACUCGCAGCCUAAUUUAACGCUGUGACGGUUCUCUGGAAGUUUCUGCCAGUAAACUCUGGAAGAGCCGACGACAAAACUGGCUGGGCUUAACACUGGGUCACUAGGGUAAUUAAGCCGAGAUUAACUAGUGAAUCGGGCUAGUAGAGGCCUGCCUGUGGGCUACGAAAACCUUAAACCUCUAAAUUGCAGGACAUAAUGGUAGAGGGUGUCGGUGAACCUUUUCGGACGCGGGUUCGAUUCCCGCCGCCUCCACU